GAAAAAGCAGGCAAUGGCGGCGGCGGCAUCAACUGCAGUGACGGUGAACGGAGGAGGAGUGAAUGUGGCAUCGCAAGCUUAUCUGGAGAGCAAGGCUGUGAAAGACACGAGGGUGUUAAUAGCUGACCUUUGCCGCCACUUCUACAACCUUGGAUGGGUGUCUGGGACUGGUGGUAGCAUCACCAUCAAGGUCCAUGAUGACUCCAUCCCUAAGCCUCAACAGCUCAUCAUCAUGUCCCCUUCUGGUGUGCAGAAAGAAAGAAUGGAACCAGAAGACAUGUAUGUUUUAGCCGCAGAUGGGUCUAUAUUGUCUUCACCAUCUCCAAAGCCCUAUCCAAACAAGCCUCCUAAGUGUUCUGAUUGUGCUCCUUUGUUCUUGAAGGCAUAUGAUAUGCGUAAUGCGGGAGCUGUUAUUCACAGUCACGGUAUUGAAUCUUGUAUUGUAACAAUGAUCAAGCCAUUCUCAAAAGAAUUCCGAAUUACUCAUAUGGAGAUGAUAAAAGGAAUCAAGGGUCAUGGCUAUUAUGACGAACUUGUUGUACCAAUCAUAGAGAAUACUGCCUAUGAAAACGAGCUUACAGAUUCUCUCACUAAAGCUAUAGAAGCCUAUCCCAAAACAACAGCUGUGCUUGUUCGCAACCAUGGCAUCUAUGUAUGGGGAGACUCAUGGAUCAAUGCCAAAACUCAGGCUGAAUGUUACCACUAUCUAUUUGAUGCUGCGAUCAAACUUCAUCAACUUGGAUUGGACUGGUCUACUCCGAACCAUGGUCCAAUUCAAAAUGUCAAAGGAAUUCUAGGUAGUGAUGGAAUAAACACAUAUGUCAAGGCAGGAAUGAAGGAUUCAAAUAAUGAAAUUGAGCCAUUGCCGCGCUGCAUUGUGCUCGACAUUGAAGGGACUACUACUCCCAUAUCAUUUGUCGCUGACGUUCUCUUUCCAUAUGCCCGUGAUAAUGUUGGGAGGCAUUUGUCUGCAACAUAUGAGACUGCAGAAACUCGAGAUGAUAUAAAAUUGUUGCGCUUUCAAGUUGAAGAUGAUCUGGCCCAAGGUGUUAAUGGGGCUGUGCCUAUUCCACCAGAUGAUGCAGGG
rnacentral:misc_RNA from 1 species